rnacentral:rRNA from 1 species
GACGAACGCUGGCGGCGUGCUUAACACAUGCAAGUCGAACGGAAAGGCCCUGCUUUUGUGGGGUGCUCGAGUGGCGAACGGGUGAGUAACACGUGAGUAACCUGCCCUUGACUUUGGGAUAACUUCAGGAAACUGGGGCUAAUACCGGAUAGGAGCUCCUGCUGCAUGGUGGGGGUUGGAAAGUUUCGGCGGUUGGGGAUGGACUCGCGGCUUAUCAGCUUGUUGGUGGGGUAGUGGCGUACCAAGGCUUUGACGGGUAGCCGGCCUGAGAGGGUGACCGGCCACCUUGGGACUGAGAUACGGCCCAGACUCCUACGGGAGGCAGCAGUGGGGAAUAUUGCACAAUGGGCGGAAGCCUGAUGCAGCAACGCCGCGUGCGGGAUGACGGCCUUCGGGUUGUAAACCGCUUUCGCCUGUGACGAAGCGUGAGUGACGGUAAUGGGUAAAGAAGCACCGGCUAACUACGUG